CGAACGCACAGCGAAAGGUGCUUGCACCUUUCAAGUGAGUGGCGAACGGGCGAUUAACACGUGGACAACCUGCCUCAAGGCUGGGGAUAACAUUUGGAAACAGAUGCUAAUACCGAAUAAAACUUAGUGUCGCAUGACACAAAGUUAAAAGGCGCUUCGGCGUCACCUAGAGAUGGAUCCGCGGUGCAUUAGUUAGUUGGUGGGGUAAAGGCCUACCAAGACAAUGAUGCAUAGCCGAGUUGAGAGACUGAUCGGCCACAUUGGGACUGAGACACGGCCCAAACUCCUACGGGAGGCUGCAGUAGGGAAUCUUCCACAAUGGGCGAAAGCCUGAUGGAGCAACGCCGCGUGUGUGAUGAAGGCUUUCGGGUCGUAAAGCACUGUUGUAUGGGAAGAACAGCUAGAAUAGGAAAUGAUUUUAGUUUGACGGUACCAUACCAGAAAGGGACGGCUAAAUACGUGCCAGCAGCCGCGGUAAUACGUAUGUCCCGAGCGUUAUCCGGAUUUAUUGGGCGUAAAGCGAGCGCAGACGGUUUAUUAAGUCUGAUGUGAAAGCCCGGAGCUCAACUCCGGAAUGGCAUUGGAAACUGGUUAACUUGAGUGCAGUAGAGGUAAGUGGAACUCCAUGUGUAGCGGUGGAAUGCGUAGAUAUAUGGAAGAACACCAGUGGCGAAGGCGGCUUACUGGACUGCAACUGGCGUUGAGGCUCGAAAGUGUGGGUAGCAAACAGGAUUAGAUACCCUG
rnacentral:rRNA from 1 species